AUGAACGCAGCAUUAAAAACUAUCCUCCCACAUACUACUCUCCAUAAGUUGUGUCGGUGGCAUAUCAUGAAGAAGCACAAAGACCACCUCGCCUUACUGUAUAAGGCGCACGAGAAACUUAAGGAUGACCUCAAUGCGGUGCUGAACCACCCACUAAUGCCGUCAGAAUUUGAACGAGCAUGGAAGGACCUCAUUCAGAGAUACAACUUGCAAGACAAUGAAGUGAUGAAUUCGGUGUGGGAAGACAGGCACGAGUGGAUCUUCAUACACUUCAAGGAAAUUUUCUAUGCUCGGAUGACUUCCACACAGAGAAGCGAGAGCAUGAACCGCAGACUGAAGAAAAACUUUGUCAAAGAGAAGCAUGAUCUCCAUCUGUUUGCUCAGCAGGUGGACAAGUGCAUUCAGACCAGGAAGGCCGUCGAGCACGCAGAGACAGUAGCAAAUGAGUCAGAGGUAAAGACAACAACCCAGUUUGGGUUCGAAGUUCAGUUAUCAAAAGUGUAUACAAGGGCAGUGUUUGCAGAUUUCAAAGAAACACUCUACCAUAGCACUGCAUUCAGAGCAGAACGGUGCCAUGAGAACACGACAAAGUAUCUCGUACACCACUACAACAGAUCGAAUGCAUUUGACUGGGCAAGUUGUAAUUUCUAAGUGGUCGCCGAUGAACAGAAAGGUGUCUACGAAUGUGAAUGCAAACUCUGGACACACACAGGGCUCUUUGGCGUCCAUGUGUUAUGCAUGCUUUCUCAUUUGAGAGUACUCAAGAUUCCAGAGGUGUACAUCAUGAAAAGAUACACCCGUAACGCAAGAUCAGAUGCAACGUUUGACAGACGAGACUAUGAACAAACAGCACCAGAUGGAACCUCGCUUUUUUGCCGUAGCCUUGCAAACAGAGCGACAAGGUACGACACUGGGUGCCACAGAGCGUUGUCUGGUAUGAGGGCACUGAUCAAGGAAGUUGAUGUGCUCAACGAAGAAGAAGAAGAAGCAGCAAAACUAAAGCAAGUAGAGAAAUCCCAGCAUGACAAUAAUGCCGAGCAAGUAGAAAAUACCAAACACAGCGGAACUGGUGCUAUCAAAAAAGAAACAAUUCUUCCACCUCCUGUUUCAAACACAAGAGGAAGGAAGAAAGGGGGUGACGCAACCCAGAAAAAGGUUGCAUGA
rnacentral:rRNA from 1 species